GAGGAAAGAAGCGGAGCCCCGCCCCGCGGCGGAGCGCGCCUGCCAUGGCUGAGCCCCCGGGUGCUGGCCCCGCUGCCCUGCGCUUAGCUGCCGCCGCCAGCUGGAGGGCCGUGCGCGGACGCUACGUGGAAUACUUUCCGCGAGUGUUGGAGUUUCUGCGGUGCCUGCGCGCUGCUGCUCCCGGCUUGGUUCGCUACCGCCACCACGAGCGCCUGUGCAUGGGCCUAAAGGCCAAGGUGGUGGUGGAGCUGAUCCUCCAGGGCCGGCGUUGGGCCCACGUUCUGAAUUCCUUGUAUCUCCACUUUCCAGUGUCUGGACCUACUGUAGUGCGGGACCCCAAAGCUACAGAACAGGAUCUGAAGAUCAUCUCCGAGGCACAGGAAGCCUUUCGCCAGCAGGUGAAGCUGCUGGCAGAGGCCCCUGAGGAUUUGGAUUGGAAGUUACUGGAACUUGAACAAGAGUAUGGGGAGCCCUUUCUAGCUGCCAUGGAAAAGCUAUUUUUUGAAUACUUGUGUCGGCUGGAAAAAGCACUGCCUACCCCCCACACAGAGCAGCUUCAGGAUGUGCUGAGCUGGAUGCAGCCUGGGAUUUCUAUCACAUCUUCUUUUGCUUUGAGCCAAUAUAGUGUGGACAUGGGGUGGCCACUUCCAGAGUGCUCUGUGACUAAUUCAAUGAACAUGUCAGAGUCCAUGGAGCCCAGUCCUCCUCAGCAACCAAGACCAGCACUCCAUCAACCUGUGCCAAAAAGCAACUCUGGCCCACACCGUCCUCAGGGACCAGCCUCAAGAAAGCACCCAGAACCUUUGGCUGGCCACCACUUCAACUUGGCUCCUCUAGGCCAGCGAAAAACCCACGCCCAGUGGACAUCCACGAGGAACAGGAAAGAACGAGGGACACACACAGCAGUUCCAGCAGGUGAUGUGGGCACGAAAGCAGCCUCCACUGGAAAGUCUAGGAGUCCAUCCCAGACCCUGGGUGGAAAGACUGUGAAGGAGAACCCAGCUGACUUGUCCGCCUCGGAGCAAAAGGCUGUGUCUUCCAUCUCUGUGCAGCCCUGUCAUGACCAGAGGGGACUUGGUUUUGGACUCUGAUGAGGAGGAAAAUGGCCAGAGUGGAGGAAUGCCACACUUGGCUCCGCCUGGUUUUGAAGCAGAGCCAGAAAUUUGCGCCUAGAAGCUCAGGACUGCGGACAGAGACACAGCGGCUCUCAUGUUAUUUCUUGAAUGGCCACAGGACAGCAGCAGAAGAUCAUGUUUGCACAGGAAUUGGCUGAGAGUAAUAAGUCUAUAGAUCCAUAGACGUGUACACUAUAAUCAGUAACGUACUUGAAGGACAUCAUAUAUAUAUUAUACACGUUUUAUUCUGGGGAAGUAUUUGAAAUAAACUGUAUAUGUGUAGCUAGAAGUUUUUAACUAGGCACUGAUAUGUGAGUAUAUCCUAUAUAAUAAAAGGCUAAUAUGAUAAUUGUC